CACUCGUAACUUGAGUCCAAAUUAGGCAUGAAUUAUUGACAUUUCCAAAAUAGUCAUAAAGGAAAAAUUCUUAUUACAGUUCCCAUUAGGGGACUGCGUUACAAGCAUAAAUGAAACGUCGUGUUUCAUUACAGGAAGAAUUAUUCUACUUGCAGUCCGCAAUGCGGGACUGCAUUGCAAGCCUUAAAUGAAACGAUGCGUUUCAUUUAAUAUAAAUGAACCGCACCGUUUCAGUGAUAGAAAACACACCUGGGAACGGGACUAUGGCCAACCCCUUGAUGAAACCGAAACCGAAUGAAUCCCUCCCCAGCCCCAUGAGGAAACCGAACGUAUCCCUCCCCAUUCAAAGGUCCAGAGCCGUAGCCGCUGCCCAUCACCUGGAAGCCACAGUCCGUUAGCUGAGAUUUUGGGUUUCGGUUUGCUCAUUGGAGAUUGGAUUUCCUUCCUCAACUACCAGCUUCCCCAUCACCUGGUUAAGCCACCGUUCGUUAGCUCCGUUUCGGUUUGCAGAUUUGGCCCGUUGCCGUCGCCACCUGCUAUGUUAGUUUCGGGUUUGCACAGAGAAGAUUUGAAAAGUUUUGAUAUGCGAUGUCCUCAUUGCAUGCUUCAUCAUUUUCGACCACCCCUCCAAAAUGUUUAUGCGGGGAGAUGACACGUCUAAAAUUGUCGAACACCUCUAGAAAUCCAAGACGACCUUUUUAUUCGUAUUCCAAUUACAAUAAAGAGGGAAGGUCAUAUUGCGAGUAUUUUUUAUGGGCAGAUAUCGAAGUAGAAAAUGAAGCUAAAAUUGCCUGUGAAAGAGAGCACACUUUGAAGAGAAAAAAGAACAACUCCGAAAAUGGGAGGAAGAACUCUAAAAAAGGGAAGAAGAACUCGCGUGUGAUCGGGAUGAGUUUCAUGCUCUAAUAAACAAUGAUAACAAUCCAUGCAUGCGACCUUGUGUGUAUUGGGGACUUGCAAUUCUAUUAUUUUGUUGUUGGAUAGGAUCAAGAAUAAUUGAUCCUUAAGUAAAGUGUAUAAAAAAAGUGUAAUGUUGUUAAGUAGGUUGUAAUAGAUGGGGGGUUUGCCACUUUCUUGAAUCCGUGUACAAGGGACAAACCCAGGGUAUUAUGUAUGAAACUCCCUGCUUUUUGUAUUAUCUGAUGUGAACUUCACACUGUUGUAAAUGCUUUCAGACAAUUUGAAUAUGAGUGUUACUAUGUGUUCUGAAUUACUA